ACAAGAUGGAGGAAGGUGGGGAGUGACGUCAAGUCAUCAUGGCCCUUAUGUCCAGGGCGACACACGUGCUACAAUGGCCGGCACAGCGGGAAGCGAGGCAGUGAUGCCAAGCGGAUCCCUUAAAGACCGGUCUCAGUUCGGAUUGAAGUCUGCAACUCGACUUCAUGAAGCUGGAAUCGCUAGUAAUCGCAGAUCAGCCAAGCUGCGGUGAAUACGUUCCCGGGCCGUU
rnacentral:rRNA from 1 species